rnacentral:rRNA from 1 species
UACAGAGGUGGCAAGCGUUGUUCGGAAUUACUGGGCGUAAAGGGCGCGUAGGCGGCCUCCUAAGUCGGACGUGAAAGCCCCAGGCUUAACCUGGGAACUGCGUCCGAUACUGGGAGGCUUGGAUUCGGGAGAGGGAUGCGGAAUUCCAGGUGUAGCGGUGAAAUGCGUAGAUAUCUGGAGGAACACCGGUGGCGAAGGCGGCAUCCUGGACCGAGAUCGACGCUGAGGCGCGAAAGCUAGGGGAGCAAACGGG